AAGCUGCCAGCAUUCCCAACUCGAGGAUUGACCCAGGAGAUGAUCCAAAAGCAAGUGAGUGUGAUUUGAAGUUUUGAGUGAGACAUCUCCAGAUCUCAGUGAAAUAUGCUUGACAGUUCUCAGUGCCUUUCGUCUCUGUGAUGGGUUACAUGGACACAGAUCUCUGCAAGGAGAGCACAGAGCUUGGAAAGAGUGUCUUCUUAGGUGCACACAGGUUGGUACUGUUAUGGUGGCCUCUUAACAUGCAUCAUCUCAAGGCACCAGGGCAGUGUGUGCCUGCACCUCCUUCUUCCCCACUCAAGCAGUCAUAUUAACAUGUUUACAGACAUUAUUAAUAAGCUCUGGCUGGAGUUUAUUGGAUGAAUAGCCAGCUCCCAAGAUCUGAGAAUUGAAAUAGCUCAUUGUUUCAUCUCUAGGGACCUCAGAUGAGAAGGUGAUGGACCAUUCCUCUGGGACUUUGGCAUCCUUAUUUCUCACUUUCAGUGACCUGCCAGCCCAUGGAUCAGCUCUGGCCAGAAAGGCAGUUCUGUAAGCAUGGCUGCUAGGCAUCCUCUUCUGUAUCAGGGGCCCUUCACAGGACAAGAGCAAUUUUGGGAGCUAGUAUAUUUUAAGGUUUUCUUAAUUUGUAUAUUUUAUUUGGAAAUAUUUAUAUAGUAUAAACAAGCUGAAUUUCAGAGACAAUGGAUUUAAACAUCAGUUUAUUACAAAAGAGAGCCAUGGAAAAUAUUAACAUGAUGGGCUGGGGAUAUAGUUCAUUGAGGGCCUGGGUUCAAUCCCAGCACCUCCCAUCUAAAAAAAUGUUUACAUAAUGAAAGAUUGCAGAACUUCAGUGAAAACUUGGAGGUUUGUUGAGAUAUAAUUGUCAUAUAAUAGAGUAUGCAUAUUUGAAGGGUUUGAUACCUUUUGGGACUUGUGAUGCAUAUCAAGGAGACCUUCACUGUGAUGAAGACAGUGGACAUAUAUCACAUCUCAGAAGGUUACUGGUGCCCUUUGUACUCUUCCCUCUGUAUACACCAAGCCACUCUCCCUGUCCUGAUCUGCUAUGUUACUAGACAUUAACUUUCAUUUUCUAGAAUUUUACAUAAAUGGGUUGUACAAUGUAUAUUUUUGUAUGAGUUAAAAAAAACUCAGAAUAGCUUGUUUUUAAAUUUUACUUGUAUGUGAGUGUCAGGGCUUCUUGCUAUUGCUAAUGAACACCAGAUGCUUAUGCUACUUUUUUGUAUCUAGUUUAUGUUGUUGGCUUGGGAAUUGAACCUGGGUCUGGAGGCUUUACAAGAAAGUACCUUUAACUGCUGAGUCAUCUUCCCUAGCCCCAUCAGCAUAAUUAUUUUAAGGUUUGUCCAUGUUGUAGUAUGUAUCAGUACUUCAUGUCUUUUCGUGGAUGACUAUAACAUUUGAUUGUAUGAAAUAUAUACUGUUUUCCUAUUUACUUGUUUACAGAUAUUUGGAUUAUUUCUACUUUGCAGUGAUUAUCAAUAAAAUUUUUAUGAGCAUACAUACGCAAA